UCCUCCGUGGCGCAAUUGGCUAGCGCGUUCGACUGUUAUGAAUGAAAAAAAGCAGGUAAUCGAGAGGUUGACAGUUCAAGCCUGUCCGGGGGAG